AAAGAUUUCAGGAUAUAAGUUUUAAAAAAAUAUUAAUUUUGGAGAUUAAAAAUAUAGAAAAAUUCUAUUAUCUUGA
rnacentral:tRNA from 1 species